rnacentral:rRNA from 1 species
UACGUAGGGUGCAAGCGUUGUCCGGAAUUAUUGGGCGUAAAGAGCUCGUAGGCGGUUUGUCGCGUCGGAUGUGAAACCCUGAGGCUCAACCUCAGGCCUGCAUUCGAUACGGGCAGACUAGAGUACUGUAGGGGAGACUGGAAUUCCUGGUGUAGCGGUGAAAUGCGCAGAUAUCAGGAGGAACACCGGUGGCGAAGGCGGGUCUCUGGGCAGUAACUGACGCUGAGGAGCGAAAGCGUGGGGAGCGAACAGG